GUGGGGAAUCUUCCGCAAUGGGCGAAAGCCUGACGGAGCAACGCCGCGUGAGUGAAGAAGGCCUUCGGGUCGUAAAGCUCUGUCUUCAGGGACGAAAAGGCAGGGGAGUAAUAUGCCCUUGUUGUGACGGUACCUGAGGAGGAAGCUCCGGCUAACUACGUGCCAGCAGCCGCGGUAAUACGUAGGGAGCGAGCGUUGUCCGGAAUUACUGGGCGUAAAGGGUGCGUAGGCGGGAAUUUAAGUAAGGUGUGAAAACUCCGGGCUCAACCUGGGGACUGCACUGUAAACUGGAUUUCUUGAGGGCAGGAGAGGAAAGUGGAAUUCCUAGUGUAGCGGUGAAAUGCGUAGAUAUUAGGAGGAACACCAGUGGAGAAGGCGACUUUCUGGACUGUGCCUGACGCUGAGGCGCGAAAGCGUGGGGAGCGAACGGGAUUAGAAACCCCAGUAGUCC
rnacentral:rRNA from 1 species